rnacentral:rRNA from 1 species
GACGAACGCUGGCGGCGUGCCUAAUACAUGCAAGUCGAGCGAAUCAAUAGGAGCUUGCUCCUGUUGGUUAGCGGCGGACGGGUGAGUAAUACGUGGGCAACCUGCCUGUAAGACUGGGAUAACACCGGGAAACCGGUGCUAAUACCGGAUAAUCUUUUUCCUCUCAUGAGGAAAAACUGAAAGUCGGUUUCGGCUGACACUUACAGAUGGGCCCGCGGCGCAUUAGCUAGUUGGUGAGGUAACGGCUCACCAAGGCGACGAUGCGUAGCCGACCUGAGAGGGUGAUCGGCCACACUGGGACUGAGACACGGCCCAGACUCCUACGGGAGGCAGCAGUAGGGAAUCCUCCACAAUGGACGAAAGUCUGAUGGAGCAACGCCGCGUGAGCGAUGAAGGCCUUCGGGUCGUAAAGCUCUGUUGUUAGGGAAGAACAAGUACCGGAGUAACUGCCGGUACCUUGACGGUACCUAACCAGAAAGCCACGGCUAACUACGUGCCAGCCGCCGCAGUAAAAC